rnacentral:rRNA from 1 species
GACGAACGCUGGCGGCGUGCUUAACACAUGCAAGUCGAACGAAGUGGCGAACGGGUGAGUAACGCGUAAUCAACCUGCCCUUCAGAGGGGGACAACAGUUGGAAACGACUGCUAAUACCGCAUACUGAAGGAGGGGAUUGCGUCUGAUUAGCUAGUUGGAGGGGUAACGGCCCACCAAGGCGAUGAUCAGUAGGCGGUCUGGGAGGAUGAACGGGCACAAUGGGACUGGGACACGGCCCCGAAUCCUACGGGAGGCAGCAGUGGGGGAUUGUCCGCAAUGGGCGGAAGUCUGACGGGGCAACGCCGCGGGAGUGGUGAAGGGCUUCGGGUUGUGAAGCUCUGUUAGUCGGGACGCGGUACCGGAAUAGAAAGCCACGGCUAACUACGUGCCAGCAGCCGCGGUAAUUC